rnacentral:lncRNA from 1 species
GGGAUUACUACUUAGCAAAUUCCAAUUGUUGGCAAGAGGAGCUUACCCCACUGGGGAGCUCUGGGAGCCAGUGUAGAGCAUUGCUGGUCUUUCCACCUGAGGAGCCAGGGAGCUGGAGGGAGCUGGAGCAGUCAUUGCUGCAAGGUGCUGGCAUGGGCAGGCAGGCAUCAGUUCUUCAACACUUCCAGCUUGCCCUGGGGCAGACAGGUUCCAGCAACCAGAGGAAGCCUCCCAGACAAAGAGGUUCAAAUGCUGGUAGUUCUGGGUGGGCAGCCAGUAUUACAAUAGUAAGGCCCUAGAAGACUUGAGCGCAGCUCCAACCAUGAAUGCUGCAGGAUAAUUGAUGGUUUUGCUGAGACCUGGCAAGUCACAGGCACUCAAUAAAUAUUUUUUGAAUAAAUGAAUAACCUGAAAAUUCUCUGAUAAAAAAAAGUUGCAUUCAACUUUCACUGUCAUUAAAAAAAAAAUCAUAGGGAAAC